rnacentral:rRNA from 1 species
GACGAACGCUGACGGCGUGCUUAACACAUGCAAGUCGAAGGGAGUGGCGAACGGGUGAGUAACAAGUGAGUAACCUGCCCUUUUCAUUGGGAUAAGCCUGGGAAACUGGGUCUACUACUGGAUGGAAUGGGAUGGGCUGGCGGCUGAUAAGCUUGUUGGUGGGGUGUGGGCUUACCAAGGCUUUGACGGGUAGCCGGACUGAGGUGGUGGUCGGUCACACUGGGACUGAGAUACGGCCCAGAGUCCUACGUGAGGCAGCAGGUGGUGAUAUUGCACAAUGGACGAAAGUCUGAUGCAGCGACGUCGUGUGGGGGAUGAAGGCCUUCGGGUUGUAAACUCCUUUCGCCCGCGGAAUGGUAGUGGGUAAAGAAGCGCCGGCUAACUACGUGCCAGCAGCCGCGGUAAUAC